GACGAACGCUGGCGGCGUGCCUAACACAUGCAAGUCGAACGGAAAGGCCCUGCUGUUGUGGGGUGCUCGAGUGGCGAACGGGUGAGUAACACGUGAGUAACCUGCCCUUGACUUUGGGAUAACUUCAGGAAACUGGGGCUAAUAACGGAUAGGAACUCCUGCUGCAUGGUGGGGGUUGGAAAGUUUCGGCGGUUGGGGAUAGACUCGCGGCUUAUCAGCUUGUUGGUGGGGUAGUGGCUGACCAAGGCUUUGACGGGUAGCCGGCCUGUGAGGGUGACCGGCCACAUUGGGACUGAGAUACGGACCAGAAUCCUACGGGCGGCAGCAGUGGGGAAUAUUGCGCAAUGGGCGGAAGCCAGAUGCAGCAACGCCGCGUGCGGGAUGACGGCCUUCGGGUUGUAAACCGCUUUCGACUGUGACGAAGCGUGAGUGACGGUAAUUGGUAAAGAAGCAACGGCUAACUACGUG
rnacentral:rRNA from 1 species